GCUCGGUUAGCUCAGUUGGUUAGAGCGUCGUACUAAUACCUCUUCUUUGGGACAUAUUAUGUAAUGCGAAGGCCAUGAGUUCAAGCCUCAUACUGAGCA
rfam:Pseudomassariella vexata strain CBS 129021 BCR38scaffold_16, whole genome shotgun sequence.